rnacentral:rRNA from 1 species
GAGGAAUAUUGGACAAUGGAGGCAACUCUGAUCCAGCCAUGCCGCGUGAAGGAAGACUGCCCUAUGGGUUGUAAACUUCUUUUGUAUAGGAAGAAACGUUAGUAUGUAUACUAAUUUGACGGUACUAUAAGAAUAAGGAUCGGCUAACUCCGUGCCAGCAGCCGCGGUAAUACGGAGGAUCCAAGCGUUAUCCGGAAUCAUUGGGUUUAAAGGGUCCGUAGGUUGUUAUAUAAGUCAGUGGUGAAAGUUUGCGGCUCAACCGUAAAAUUGCCAUUGAUACUGUAUAGCUUGAAUUAUUGUGAAGUGGUUAGAAUAAGUAGUGUAGCGGUGAAAUGCAUAGAUAUUACUUA